rnacentral:tRNA from 1 species
GGUCCCAUAGCUCAGUUGGUUAGAGCACCUGACUCAUAAUCAGGGGGUCACUGGAUCAUGCCCAGUUGGGACCA